rnacentral:rRNA from 1 species
UACGAAGGGGGCUAGCGUUGCUCGGAAUCACUGGGCGUAAAGGGUGCGUAGGCGGGUCUUUAAGUCAGGGGGGAAACCCUGGAGCUCAACUCCAGAACUGCCUUUGAUACUGAAGAUCUUGAGUUCGGGAGAGGUGAGUGGAACUGCGAGUGUAGAGGUGAAAUUCGUAGAUAUUCGCAAGAACACCAGUGGCGAAGGCGGCUCACUGGCCCGAUACUGGCGCUGAGGCACGAAAGCGUGGGGAGCAAACAGG